UACGUAGGCAGCAAGCGUUGUUCGGAGUUACUGGGCGUAAAGGGUGUGUAGGCGGUUUUUAAGUUUGGUGUGAAAUCUCCCGGCUCAACUGGGAGGGUGCGCCGAAUACUGAAAGACUAGAGUGCGGGAGAGGAAAGUGGAAUUCCUGGUGUAGCGGUGAAAUGCGUAGAUAUCAGGAGGAACACCGGUGGUGUAGACGGCUUUCUGGAC
rnacentral:rRNA from 1 species